rnacentral:rRNA from 1 species
AUACGUAGGGGGCAAGCGUUAUCCGGAUUUACUGGGUGUAAAGGGAGCGUAGACGGCAAUGCAAGUCCGAAGUGAAAGGCCGGGGCUCAACCCCGGGACUGCUUUUGGAAACUGUGUAGCUGGAGUACAGGAGAGGUAAGUGGAAUUCCUAGUGUAGCGGUGAAAUGCGUAGAUAUUAGGAGGAACACCAGUGGCGAAGGCGGCUUACUGGACUGUAACUGACGUUGAGGCUCGAAAGCGUGGGGAGC